rnacentral:lncRNA from 1 species
ACAUAGUCUAAACAUGGUGGUCAUGAUCCCGACCUCGAUCCUGGUCUCUCUCGCUUGGUGGCUGGACCGCAAGGCGGUUUGCGCAGGAGUGCCAUUCCACGCCCCUCAACCCUCCCUGCACCUGGUCACGGACGCCUCAUCUCUAGGUUGGGGCGCUCACCUUGGAGAGCACCAUACCCAGGGAAUGUGGACCGCACCCCAACUAGCCCUGCACAUCAAUGUUCGAGAGCUGAUGGCGGUGCGCCUGGCCUGUCAGGCUUUUCUCAGUCUCCUACAGGGCCGUUGCGUGUUAGUCCUCACCGACAACACCACGACCAUGUUUUACAUCAACAAGCAAGGAGUAGCCCGGUCGUCGCUUCUAUGCCAAGAGGGCAUUCGCCUGUGGGAAUUCUGCAUCGCCCAUUCAAUACAUCUCACGGCAUCGUUCCUUCCUGGAGUCCAGAACACGCUAGCGGACUGUCUCAGCAGGUCUUUCCAGACGCACGAGUGGUCGAUUCGCCCGGACAUCAUCUAUUCCGUCUUCCAGAGGUGGGGAUUUCCCCAGGUCGACCUGUUCACAUCUCGAGCCAACAGGAAGUGCCACGCGUUCUGCUCCCUGCAAGGGCGUUCUCUGGGCUCUCUGUCGGAUGCGUUCCUUCUAAUCUGGAAGGACCACCUGUUCUACGUUUUCCCUCCAUUUCCACUGGUCCACAGGGUACUGCUCAAGCUACGCAGAGACCAGGCACGGGUGAUUCUAGUCGCUCCGGCUUGGCCAAGGCAGCACUGGUACACCACGCUUCUGGAGCUGUCGGUUCAAACACUGAUCACGCUUCCCCUGUGCCCAGAUCUGAUUUCUCAGGACCACGGCCAACUAUGUCACCCCGACCUACAAUCGCUCCACAUCACAGCGUGGAUGCUCCAUGGCUGAAUCGAACAGUGCAAUGCUCGCACUCUGUCCAACAGAUUCUGCUGGGAAGUAGAAAGCCCUCUACACAGUCCACUUACUUAGCCAAGUGGAAGCGUUUCUCCUGUUGGUGCGAGCAACGAGCCACGCCCCCCUUGCAGGCGCCUAUUCCUCUUAUUCUUGAAUAUCUCCUAUCCCUAAAACAGCAGGGCUUGGCGAUAUCUUCGGUCAGGGUUCACCUGGCCGCUAUCUCGGCGUUCCACCCAGGAGAGCUCGCUUCCUCGGUCUUCUCGAACCCGAUGGUCGUUAGAUUCCUCAAGGGCUUAGACCGACUGUACCCACAGCAACGCCAGCCCGUUCCGACGUGGGAUCUCAACCUGGUUCUCUCCAAGCUCACAGGGCCUCCGUUCGAGCCAUUGGCCACCUGUUCACUCCUGUA